rnacentral:pre_miRNA from 1 species
AUACCAGUCUCCUGGAGAGCUUAUUAAAAUGCAGAUUCUGAUUCAGUAGUCUGGGGUGGGCCUGAGAUUCCACAUUUCUAACAAGUUCCCAGGUGAGUUCAAU